rnacentral:rRNA from 1 species
UAACAAGGAUUCCCCUAGUAACUGCGAGUGAAGCGGGAUGAGCUCAAAUUUAAAAUCUGGCGGUCUCUGGCCGUCCGAGUUGUAGUCUGGAGAAGCGUUUUCCGCGUCGGACCGUGUACAAGUCUCCUGGAAUGGAGCGUCAUAGAGGGUGAGAAUCCCGUCCAUGGCACGGACUGCCGAUGCUCUGUGAUACGCUCUCGAAGAGUCGAGUUGUUUGGGAAUGCAGCUCAAAAUGGGUGGUAAAUUCCAUCUAAAGCUAAAUAUUGGCGAGAGACCGAUAGCGAACAAGUACCGUGAGGGAAAGAUGAAAAGCACUUUGAAAAGAGAGUUAAACAGUACGUGAAAUUGUUGAAAGGGAAACGCUUGAAGUCAGUCGCGUCUCGUAGAACUCAGCCUGGUUUCGGCCUGGUGUACUUUCUAUGUGGACGGGUCAACAUCAAUUUUGACCGGUGGAGAAAGGUGAGGGGAAUGUAGCGUUGCUUCGGUGACGUGUUAUAGCCUUUUGCUGUAUACACUGGUUGGGAUUGAGGACUGCAGCGCGCCUUUAAUGGCCGGGGGUUCGCCCUACGUACCGCGCUUAGGAUGUUGGCAUAAUGGCUUUAAGCGACCCGUCUUGAAACACGGACCAAGGAGUCUAACAUGUUUGCGAGUGUUCGGGUGGAAAACCCUUGCGCGUAAUGAAAGUGAAAGUUGGGAUCCUCCGCAAGGGGGUGCACCGACGCCCGGCCCUGAAGUUCUCUGACGGUGCUGCGGUAGAGCAAGUAUGUUGGGACCCGAAAGAUGGUGAACUAUGCCUGAAUAGGGCGAAGCCAGAGGAAACUCUGGUGGAGGCUCGUAGCGAUUCUGACGUGCAAAUCGAUCGUCAAAUUUGGG